UGCAAGUCGCACGCGAACGUUCCUUCGGGAACUAGUAGAGUGGCGAAAGGGCGAGUAAUGCAUGGGAACGUACCCUGAGCACGAGGAUAGCAUCGGGAAACCGUUGGUAAUACUCGAUAAUGUCUACGGACCAAAUGGCGGGGAUCCUUCGGGACCUGUUGGCUUGGGAGCGGCCCAUGUCGUAUCAGCUUGUUGGUGAGGUAACGGCUCACCAAGGCAACGACGCGUAGCGGGGCUGAGAGGUUGGCCCGCCGCACUGGGACUGAGACACUGCCCAGACUCCUACGGGAGGCUGCAGUAACGAAUAUUGGGCAAUGGGCGAAAGCCUGACCCAGCAAUGCCGCGUGCGGGAGGAAGCCCUUCGGGGUGUAAACCGCUGUCAGGGACCACCAAGCGACCGGGGCCAAUACCCCCGGAAGUUGAGGCGUCCCAGAGGAAGCCACGGCUAACUCCGUGCCAGCAGCCGCGGUAAGACGGAGGUGGCGAGCGUUGUUCGGAAUCACUGGGCUUAAAGAGCACGUAGGCGGGCUGUCAAACGUCUUGUGAAAUCCCUCGGCUUAACCGAGGAAUUGCUGGGCGAACUGAUAGUCUUGAGGCAGGUAGGGGCAAGUGGAACUCUUGGUGGAGCGGUGAAAUGCGUAGAUAUCAAGAGGAACGCCAGAGGUGAAGACGACUUUGCUGGGCCUGACCUGACGCUGAGGUGCGAAAGCCAGGGGAGCGAACGGGAUUAGAUACCCCGGUAGUCCUGGCCCCUAAACGAUGUCCACUAGAUCGCAGGUUCUCUGACGGAGUUGCGGUCGCAAUGAAAACGUUAAGUGGACCGCCUGGGGAGUACGGUCGCAAGGCUAAAACUCAAAGGAAUUGACGGGUGCUCACACAAGCGGUGGAGCAUGUUGCUUAAUUCGAUGCAACGCGAAGAACCUUAUCCUGGGCUUGACAUGCUUGGAUGCCCAUCUGGAAACAGAGUAGGCUGCCCUUCGGGGUGAAACUUGCACAGGUGCUGCAUGGCUGUCGUCAGCUCGUGUCGUGAGAUGUUGGGUUAAGUCCCGUAACGAGCGAAACCCUUGUCGCUAGUUGCCAGCGCGUUAUGGCGGGGACUCUAGCGAGACUGCCGGUGUUAAACCGGAGGAAGGUGGGGAUGACGUCAAGUCCUCAUGGCCUUUAUGCCCAGGGCUGCAAACGUGCUACAAUGGCUUGGACAAACCGACGCGAGACCGCGAGGUGGAGCAAAUCGGAAAAACCAGGCCCCAGUUCAGAUUGCAGUCUGCAACUCGACUGCAUGAAGUUGGAAUCGCUAGUAAUCGCAGAUCAGCGUGCUGCGGUGAAUGUGUUCCUGAGCAUUGUACACACCGCCCGUCAAGUCAUGGAAGCUGGGAGCGCCCGAAGUCGG
rnacentral:rRNA from 1 species